GUAGGGGGCAAGCGUUAUCCGGAUUUAUUGGGCGUAAAGCGUGUGUAGGCGGUUUGUUAAGUUUAAGAUUAAAGCCUGGGGCUCAACUCCAGUUCGUCUUAAAAACUGGCAGACUAGAGUACGGUAGAGGCAAACGGAAUUUCUAGUGUAGCGGUGAAAUGCGUAGAUAUUAGAAGGAACACCAGUGGCGAAAGCGGUUUGCUGGGCCGUUACUGACGCUGAGGCACGAAAGCGUGGGGAGCAAAUAGGAUUAGAUACCCUAGUAGUCCACGCCGUAAACGAUGAGUACUAAGUGUUGGGGUUUCCCAGUGCUGAAGCUAACGUAUUAAGUACUCCGCCUGAGUAGU
rnacentral:rRNA from 1 species